rnacentral:sRNA from 1 species
CGCACAUGCCCUCCUUGGGCGUUUCCUCCCUAGACUUGAAGGCCGCCGAAAGGCGGCCUCCUUUUCUUCACCAG